rnacentral:rRNA from 1 species
UACGUAGGGGGCGAGCGUUGUCCGGAAUUAUUGGGCGUAAAGGGCGCGUAGGCGGAGAUAUGUGUCAUGUGUGAAAACCACAGGCUCAACCUGUGAUUGCACAUGAAACUAUAUCCCUUGAGUGCAGGAGAGGAAAGCGGAAUUCCCAGUGUAGCGGUGAAAUGCGUAGAUAUUGGGAGGAACACCAGUGGCGAAGGCGGCUUUCUGGACUGUAACUGACGCUGAGGCGCGAGAGCGUGGGGAGCAAACAGG